UACGUAGGGACCAAGCGUUGUUCGGAUUUACUGGGCGUAAAGCGCACGCAGGCGGUCUCUUAAGUUGCGAGUGACAGGUGGUGGCUCAACUGCCACAGGCCUUGGAAAACUGGGAGACUUGAGGGCUUCAGAGGGAUGCGGAAUUCCAGGUGGAGCGGUGAAAUGCGUAGAGAUCUGGAAGAACACCAAAGGCGAAGGCAGCAUCCUGGGAAGUCACUGACGCUCAAGUGCGAAAGCCAGGGGAGCGAACGGG
rnacentral:rRNA from 1 species